GAAGACUCGAAAACAAACGCUGUCCCUUUAACAGCGUCGGCGAUGAUUGGUUCCGAUAACGUCUAACCAAACCCGGAACCGGCUUUCAGUAAUUCCACGUUGGAAAAGUUAUUCACUUCAAAACGAACUUGAACAGCGUUUUGAGAACACGGGGUGUAGCCUACUUCAGCAAUCUAACAUGCACGCACGUUAUGUAUCUGGUCUCAACUUGAACUGCUUGAAUUGAAUGAAGACCCCCGCUGGUUUGAGUUUGUUGCGUCACCAAAACAUUGACUGAGUUAAAGGUCCUGUAGAUCCUUGGCCACGCCCACCUCACCACCCUGACGUCAUCACAUGACAUCAAUAGCAUGGUUCUCACGAGGACGGCCUAAUUGUGCGCCGGCAUUCCUAGCGAGUGUGAUUAAGACAUUACACAAGCACGCCGCUGGGACUCUGGGAGACAGGCCUGGCCUAAUGGAGUCCACACACUGGAACCAGGCUGGCGGGCGACUGCAGUAAACGCUGCUGUGGAGACCACAGGAGGCCCAUUAACUACCGAGACCGUUGCCUCUCCUGGUGAGAGGUUCCACUCUGGGCCGGGCUCGUCCUGGAAGGAAUAUCUGGUUACCCAAACAUCUCGUUUUCAACCCGGUGAUGCCAAGUUGUUCUGAAUAACAGCACUGACAGCACUGGGGCGGGUCCAAUGAGCUACUGUGUUUACAUCGUAAUGUUGCAUCCACUGCGAUGAAAUAAAUGUAAUCUGCUGUGGAUAUGGGGAGUACAAGUCUAGAAAUGACAAAGUGUGAAGGAAAACGCCUACAGCUCCCCCAUUUGAACCUUCAUUGGGGGAGGAUGUGUCUUGAGUGGCCGUAUACACUACUGUCCGAGGUUCUUAGUGGACAAAGUUAGA
ensembl:lncRNA